ACUCCUACGGAAGGCAGCAGUGGGGAAUCUUGCGCAAUGGACGAAAGUCUGACGCAGCAGCACCGCGUGCGGGAAGAAGGCUCUCGGGGUUGUAAACCGCUUUCAGUAGGAACGAAAAUGACGGUACCUGCAGAAGAAGGUGCGGCCAACUACGUGCCAGCAGCCGCGGUAAU
rnacentral:rRNA from 1 species